GACGAACCGUGCGAACGUUGUUCGGAAUCACUGGGCUUAAAGGGCGCGUAGGCGGUUGAUCAAGUCUGGGGUGAAAUCUUUCGGCUUAACCGGAAAAGUGCCUUGGAUACUGGUCAGCUGGAGGGAGGUAGGGGCAGUUGGAACUUCCAGUGGAGCGGUGAAAUGCGUUGAUAUUGGAAGGAACGCCGGUGGCGAAAGCGAGCUGCUGGACCUCUUCUGACGCUGAUGCGCGAAAGCUAGGGGAGCAAACGGG
rnacentral:rRNA from 3 species